rnacentral:rRNA from 1 species
UGGGGAAUAUUGGACAAUGGGCGAAAGCCUGAUCCAGCCAUGCCGCGUGUGUGAAGAAGGUCUUCGGAUUGUAAAGCACUUUAAGUUGGGAGGAAGGGCAGUAAGCGAAUACCUUGCUGUUUUGACGUUACCGACAGAAUAAGCACCGGCUAACUCUGUGCCAGCAGCCGCGGUAAUACAGAGGGUGCAAGCGUUAAUCGGAAUUACUGGGCGUAAAGCGCGCGUAGGUGGUUCGUUAAGUUGAAUGUGAAAGCCCCGGGCUCAACCCGGGAACUGCAUCCAAAACUGGCGAGCUAGAGUAGGGCAGAGGGUGGUGGAAUUUCCUGUGUAGCGGUGAAAUGCGUAGAUAUAGGAAGGAACACCAGUGGCGAAGGCGACCACCUGGGCUCAUCCUGACACUGAGGUGCGAAAGCGUGGGGGGCAAACAGG